rnacentral:rRNA from 1 species
UACGUAGGGUGCGAGCGUUAAUCGGAAUUACUGGGCGUAAAGCGUGCGCAGGCGGUUUUGUAAGACAGGCGUGAAAUCCCCGGGCUCAACCUGGGAAUUGCGCUUGUGACUGCAAAGCUGGAGUGCGGCAGAGGGGGAUGGAAUUCCGCGUGUAGCAGUGAAAUGCGUAGAUAUGCGGAGGAACACCAAUGGCGAAGGCAAUCCCCUGGGCCUGUACUGACGCUCAUGCACGAAAGCGUGGGGAGCAAACAGG